UGCUUAGGAAUCUGCCUAUUAGUGGGGGACAACAUCUCGAAAGGGAUGCUAAUACCGCAUACGUCCUACGGGAGAAAGCAGGGGAUCUUCGGACCUUGCGCUAAUAGAUGAGCCCUWAAGUCGGAUUUAGCUAGUUGGGUGGGGGUAAAAGG
rnacentral:rRNA from 1 species